rnacentral:rRNA from 2 species
AAAACUUUUAACAACGGAUCUCUUGGUUCUGGCAUCGAUGAAGAACGCAGCGAAAUGCGAUAAGUAAUGUGAAUUGCAGAAUUCAGUGAAUCAUCGAAUCUUUGAACGCACAUUGCGCCCGCCAGCAUUCUGGCGGGCAUGCCUGUUCGAGCGU